rnacentral:rRNA from 1 species
GACGAACGCUGGCGGCGUGCUUAACACAUGCAAGUCGAACGGAAAGGCCCUGCUUUUGUGGGGUGCUCGAGUGGCGAACGGGUGAGUAACACGUGAGUAACCUGCCCUUGACUUUGGGAUACCUCAAGGAAACUGCGGCUAAUACCGGAUAGGAGCUCCAGCUGCAUGGUGGGGGCUGGCAAGUCUCGGCGGAUGGGGAUGGUCUCGCGUCUUUCCAGCUUGUGGGUGUGGUAGUUGCUUACCAAGGCUUUGACGGGUCGCCGUUCUGAGAGGGAGACCGGCGACAUGGGGAGUUAGAAACGACCGAGACUCCUACGGGAGGCAGCAGUGGGGAAUGCUGCACAAGGGGCGGAAGCCUGAUGCAGCAACGCCGCGUGCGGGAUGACGGCCGUCGGGUUGUAAACCGCUGUCGCGCGGGACGAAGCGUGUGUGACGGUAAUGGGUAGAGAAGCACCGGCUAACUACGUG